rnacentral:rRNA from 1 species
CCUACGGGAGGCAGCAGUGAGGAAUAUUGGUCAAUGGACGAGAGUCUGAACCAGCCAAGUAGCGUGAAGGAUGACUGCCCUAUGGGUUGUAAACUUCUUUUAUAUGGGAAUAAAAUGUUCCACGUGUGGGAUUUUGUAUGUACCAUAUGAAUAAGGAUCGGCUAACUCCGUGCCAGCAGCCGCGGUAAUACGGAGGAUCCGAGCGUUAUCCGGAUUUAUUGGGUUUAAAGGGAGCGUAGGUGGAUUGUUAAGUCAGUUGUGAAAGUUUGCGGCUCAACCGUAAAAUUGCAGUUGAAACUGGCAGUCUUGGGUACAGUAGAGGUGGGCGGAAUUCGUGGUGUAGCGGUGAAAUGCUUAGAUAUCACGAAGAACUCCGAUUGCGAAGGCAGUUCACUGGACUGCAACUGACACUGAGGCUCGAAAGUGUGGGUAUCAAACAGGAUUAGAUACCCCAGUAGUC